CCCUUACUUUUGAAAAAAUAAAGUUUUGGUUGAACGUUGUGGAUACAUCUUUGAAGAUGGUGACGAUUAUUUAAUAAAAUUCCCACCAACAUUUUGUUUUACAAGAUAUCCUAAAGCUUGAGCAGCUCUUGAAAAUUCUAAAAUCUCUCGCACUUUAUUCAAGUAAUAUUCGUUACUUAAGAAAAAAAGGUCAAUAAAAUGGUAGGAAGUUAAACGAUUAUUAUACCAGUAAAUGUUUCUAAAAUUUAUGCCUUUAUUAUGUUCUUAAUUAUCUACCAUUAACUUUCCGACAACGUUCUUGCAUGCAUGACUACCUUGUGCACUGUAAAAAUUAUUUUCGUAGAUGUUUUGCAGAGUCCUAUAAUUCUAGUUCUUCUGAUAUUGGGUUUCCGUUGAUAAAUUUCUACUUUUCAUUUUUACAAGCAACAUCACAAUUGAACCACAUUCGUGCGAACAUAGCCAUAAUUGUUUUCAUCUCAGCCGAUCAUCGCAUAUAAUUUCAAAAGCUGUCAUAACCGCAAGAGUUAACUACGGAUUCCUAGACGGUUUUGCUACAAGGAUGUUUUCAAGCUUUCGAAGCACCUGAUAUGGUAACCUUUAAAACUGUGGGAAUAAGACUGUCAUUUUCAGUAUUUCAAACAAGCAUAGAUGAUAUAUAGAUAGUGUCAUUAAUAACAAGUGUUAUAUCUUAAUAAAACUUUAAUUCUUUCCAAAAAGUAAAUAUUUGCAUUUCGCUGGUUAAACUUGUAAAUCAGGAAGCAACACUUGAUGCUUGUGGCAGGUGUUUUAUAUUUCUCCAACCAAUACAACAAUUAUUCACAUUUAGUUUUUCAAUCCAGGAUUAAUCCUCGGCUGGAGCGUACAGAUUUUGUAAUACCACAUUAACCCGUCCCGUUUCCUUUGCAAUAUUACGCGUCUGUUUAAUAUAAUUGGAUUUCUUGAGUAACAGCCGAUUUUGCAGUUUUUAUUGAACGAGAAUGGCAUGGCAGAAACCAUACUCCGUUGGAAAUAGUAAGCUGAUGGUGUUAAUCUUUAUAACUAGUAUAUUACCAUUAAUUCAUUUUCCUAAUUCCGUUGUUCGCUCAGAGUAUACACGAAUGAAGAAUACGUAUUGUUCUGCAUGUCGUCCAAGUUAAGGCAGGAGCAAAUGCUUCAGAUUUUCUUGAUAGUGUUUAUAAUACUUGCUUUCAUCAAUGUUCCACUAUGUCGCAAAAUGAUUAAUAGUUCAAAUGCAUCGUCCGAAUGUGAUUCCGUGCAAAUAUUUGCUGAAUUUUUGUGUUUCUUAUAUUACUUGCUUCAUAUUGUUCACUACCAUUGAUCUUUAACCACGUUGUGGAAUGUUGGAUAAAGUUUAUUAUAUUAUUUCUCACAAAUAUAGUACACAAUCGGUAUGUCUGUGUGUCACACAUGCAAGUAAACAUGCUUAUUCUGUUACAAUCUCCAACGUAUGGUGUUUCAAUUAAAGUUUAUACAAAUUUGCGACCUUGAAAAUGUUUUGUAUACAAUGAUAUAUUAUAAUCCUAAAACAAACCUUUUUCAGCAUAUGCCAAGAUAAGUCAUUUUCACAUAUCGCCUUUGAGAACAAAUAGCAAAGACAUUAAAAUACACGACUGAAAUAUGGUGAAAUAUGAUGCCUACAAUCAAUUUCAAAAAUAUUUUGGUCAAGUUUGUGUAAACUUUCUUGAAUUUACUUGUAUAUCGUUGUAAUAAACAAUAUCAACAACAAUUUCUAGACUAUGUAUGUGCAGUGACUGAUACGAAGAAAUAGCGAAUCUACGAAAUAUUGAAUAGGAACAACGUGAGGCAGCGUUGUUGUAACAUUCGCUAAUAAGUGCACCCGUGAAUCAAAUAUAUGGAUAUUUUAACUCCUAAUUUCAAAGCAAUUUCCCUUGAUUCUAUUUGUUUCCUAGGAAUUUGUUCCAGUGAAAACCAAAUCCCUAGCUUGUUCCGGAAAGAAAAUAAGGAUAAGGAAUGUUAUCCAUCUUGCAUUAAAAACCUUUAUUAAUCUUACAACGCAUAGUUACGGUUGCUUCCACCAGUCAAGUUUUAACAUAGGCAGCCAACAAAUACUCUGUUACAUCAUCAACAAUCUAUACACAUAAUGUGAUGCUAUGCAAGUAUAUAUUGCAGGAUAGCAAAAUACUUAGUAAAGUAUAUAUAUAUUUUAAGUGUAUAUUUUAAAGAUCUACUGUACUUUAAAAUAUUCACCUAAAAUAUUAUUAGAACUACAUUGAAAUAUAAAUUAAACAUAUACUUAUAUUUUACAGCCAUUUAUGUGACGAAAACAGAGUAUUUGCUGCAUGGGCUGAAUAUUACUAUAUCAAUAUUCAAACUAUAUUUAUAGCUAUGUCUUGACCACUUAUUGUCUUUUGACCUGACAUUUAUAUUUCUAAUAUAUUACCGUACUUUUUUGCUGCAAACCUUAAUAAAUACUUUUGCUUACAUUUAUUCAUUCACUUUUGGCUAAUUUCUGACUCCAAAUUUCUGGGUGUUGCAAGAACAACAGAAUGAUGUAAUCAUGCAUUGCAUUUCUGUAGAGACCGAUAUAGCGUGAAUGUUUUUUUUUUGCCAUUUGUGUGUUAGGGAAACACCAAAUACGCUAUCAGUCGUGAUAUAUUUACACCCAAUAAGUGUUACAGCUGUUUUAAUGCACUUAUUAGGUGUAAUUUUGGUGUUUUCCGAACACAACAAUGGUUUUUAGCAUUUACGUUAAAUAAGAAGCUGCAAUGAUCGCACCAUUCUGAUGUUGUAGUACACCCGGGUAUUUAGAGUGUAGCAGAGCAGUCAUUAUGUUGCCACUGUUGUGAAGUUAGUGUAACAGGUAUGUAGAAAUUAUUAUAAAAAAGCGAUCAUUAAAAUAACUUAAUUAACACAUCAUCAACUAUAUAUCCAUACCAUGCAUGCACAACAUCAAUUUCGAAAGCGUGAACACGAGCGAACGAACCCUAGUCGUUAUAUUAUUUAAAAUGGAUUUCACUUAGGCGAAACAAUGCCUUGCUUUUUAUUGCCAAUUAUUUGACCUAUGUAAAAUAAUGUACCUGCUUUAUAUCCAGGGCUACCGCAGAGCUGCGGUAAAGGCUAAGGGGAUACCUACACCACGAAAUUUAAAACAUCUCAAAACCUGAAAAUUUGCACUCUAAACUCGCCAUGCCAAACUUUUUCCAAAUAUACUAGUAUUUCUUCAAAAUUUGUCUAAAAUUGAAAUUCCCAAAGGUUAGAAAAUGGGAUUUCGUCCGACCAUUUUAAAUCUGGUCGUAUAUUUGCUAAUAAAUUUACUAUAGCAACGAAACAAAAAGGUGUUAUUUCAUAGCCUAAAGCGCGACGUUUAUAAGUUUAAAUAAAG